GUAUAUUGUCGAAAUAUAAAAUGAUAAUCCUAUCACAAAGAAGGAACAUAGAACAGGUGCACUAAGCUCGCAUACCAAGAGAGAUUUAAACUAAUUAAUGCCUAAAUGAUACGAUACUCUAAGUAAAAACGGUGAAUUAUAAACUUGCAUUAAGAAUGAAGGAGGAACUAUGUACAAAGAAAUACCUGGACCCAUAUUAUUGAAUUGAGUACACAGCAUAGAUCCUCAUCAGCACUCCAAGUGACCAUUUCAAUUAUCCAUUAUUAG
rnacentral:lncRNA from 1 species